rnacentral:rRNA from 1 species
UUAAGCGACUAAGCGUACACGGUGGAUGCCCUGGCAGUCAGAGGCGAUGAAGGACGUGCUAAUCUGCGAUAAGCGUCGGUAAGGUGAUAUGAACCGUUAUAACCGGCGAUUUCCGAAUGGGGAAACCCAGUGUGAUUCGUCACACUAUCAUUAACUGAAUCCAUAGGUUAAUGAGGCGAACCGGGGGAACUGAAACAUCUAAGUACCCCGAGGAAAAGAAAUCAACCGAGAUUCCCCCAGUAGCGGCGAGCGAACGGGGAGCAGCCCAGAGCCUGAAUCAGUGUGUGUGUUAGUGGAAGCGUCUGGAAAGGCGCGCGAUACAGGGUGACAGCCCCGUACACAAAAAUGCACAUACUGUGAGCUCGAUGAGUAGGGCGGGACACGUGGUAUCCUGUCUGAAUAUGGGGGGACCAUCCUCCAAGGCUAAAUACUCCUGACUGACCGAUAGUGAACCAGUACCGUGAGGGAAAGGCGAAAAGAACCCCGGCGAGGGGAGUGAAAAAGAACCUGAAACCGUGUACGUACAAGCAGUGGGAGCCUCUUAAUGGGGUGACUGCGUACCUUUUGUAUAAUGGGUCAGCGACUUAUAUUCUGUAGCAAGGUUAACCGAAUAGGGGAGCCGAAGGAAACCGAGUCUUAACUGGGCGUUAAGUUGCAGGGUAUAGACCCGAAACCCGGUGAUCUAGCCAUGGGCAGGUUGAAGGUUGGGUAACACUAACUGGAGGACCGAACCGACUAAUGUUGAAAAAUUAGCGGAUGACUUGUGGCUGGGGGUGAAAGGCCAAUCAAACCGGGAGAUAGCUGGUUCUCCCCGAAAGCUAUUUAGGUAGCGCCUCGUGAAUUCAUCUCCGGGGGUAGAGCACUGUUUCGGCAAGGGGGUCAUCCCGACUUACCAACCCGAUGCAAACUGCGAAUACCGGAGAAUGUUAUCACGGGAGACACACGGCGGGUGCUAACGUCCGUCGUGAAGAGGGAAACAACCCAGACCGCCAGCUAAGGUCCCAAAGUCAUGGUUAAGUGGGAAACGAUGUGGGAAGGCCCAGACAGCCAGGAUGUUGGCUUAGAAGCAGCCAUCAUUUAAAGAAAGCGUAAUAGCUCACUGGUCGAGUCGGCCUGCGCGGAAGAUGUAACGGGGCUAAACCAUGCACCGAAGCUGCGGCAGCGACGCUUAUGCGUUGUUGGGUAGGGGAGCGUUCUGUAAGCCUGCGAAGGUGUGCUGUGAGGCAUGCUGGAGGUAUCAGAAGUGCGAAUGCUGACAUAAGUAACGAUAAAGCGGGUGAAAAGCCCGCUCGCCGGAAGACCAAGGGUUCCUGUCCAACGUUAAUCGGGGCAGGGUGAGUCGACCCCUAAGGCGAGGCCGAAAGGCGUAGUCGAUGGGAAACAGGUUAAUAUUCCUGUACUUGGUGUUACUGCGAAGGGGGGACGGAGAAGGCUAUGUUGGCCGGGCGACGGUUGUCCCGGUUUAAGCGUGUAGGCUGGUUUUCCAGGCAAAUCCGGAAAAUCAAGGCUGAGGCGUGAUGACGAGGCACUACGGUGCUGAAGCAACAAAUGCCCUGCUUCCAGGAAAAGCCUCUAAGCAUCAGGUAACAUCAAAUCGUACCCCAAACCGACACAGGUGGUCAGGUAGAGAAUACCAAGGCGCUUGAGAGAACUCGGGUGAAGGAACUAGGCAAAAUGGUGCCGUAACUUCGGGAGAAGGCACGCUGAUAUGUAGGUGAAGUCCCUUGCGGAUGGAGCUGAAAUCAGUCGAAGAUACCAGCUGGCUGCAACUGUUUAUUAAAAACACAGCACUGUGCAAACACGAAAGUGGACGUAUACGGUGUGACGCCUGCCCGGUGCCGGAAGGUUAAUUGAUGGGGUUAGCGGUAACGCGAAGCUCUUGAUCGAAGCCCCGGUAAACGGCGGCCGUAACUAUAACGGUCCUAAGGUAGCGAAAUUCCUUGUCGGGUAAGUUCCGACCUGCACGAAUGGCGUAAUGAUGGCCAGGCUGUCUCCACCCGAGACUCAGUGAAAUUGAACUCGCUGUGAAGAUGCAGUGUACCCGCGGCAAGACGGAAAGACCCCGUGAACCUUUACUAUAGCUUGACACUGAACAUUGAGCCUUGAUGUGUAGGAUAGGUGGGAGGCUUUGAAGUGUGGACGCCAGUCUGCAUGGAGCCGACCUUGAAAUACCACCCUUUAAUGUUUGAUGUUCUAACGUUGGCCCCUAAUCGGGGUUGCGGACAGUGUCUGGUGGGUAGUUUGACUGGGGCGGUCUCCUCCUAAAGAGUAACGGAGGAGCACGAAGGUUGGCUAAUCCUGGUCGGACAUCAGGAGGUUAGUGCAAUGGCAUAAGCCAGCUUGACUGCGAGCGUGACGGCGCGAGCAGGUGCGAAAGCAGGUCAUAGUGAUCCGGUGGUUCUGAAUGGAAGGGCCAUCGCUCAACGGAUAAAAGGUACUCCGGGGAUAACAGGCUGAUACCGCCCAAGAGUUCAUAUCGACGGCGGUGUUUGGCACCUCGAUGUCGGCUCAUCACAUCCUGGGGCUGAAGUAGGUCCCAAGGGUAUGGCUGUUCGCCAUUUAAAGUGGUACGCGAGCUGGGUUUAGAACGUCGUGAGACAGUUCGGUCCCUAUCUGCCGUGGGCGCUGGAGAACUGAGGGGGGCUGCUCCUAGUACGAGAGGACCGGAGUGGACGCAUCACUGGUGUUCGGGUUGUCAUGCCAAUGGCACUGCCCGGUAGCUAAAUGCGGAAGAGAUAAGUGCUGAAAGCAUCUAAGCACGAAACUUGCCCCGAGAUGAGUUCUCCCUGACUCCCUGAGAGUCCUGAAGGAACGUUGAAGACGACGACGUUGAUAGGCCGGGUGUGUAAGCGCAGCGAUGCGUUGAGCUAACCGGUACUAAUGAACCGUGAGGCUUAACCU